GACGAACUCUGGCUCCGUGCUUAACACAUGCUAGUCGCACGAUGAAGCUCGAGCUUGCACGAGUGGAUAAGUCGCGAACGGCUGAGUAACUCGUGAGCAAUCUGCCCUUGAAUAUGAGGAAACACCGGUGGACCGUAGCUAAUACCGGAUACGCCAACUUGGAUGUUCCCUGGGCGUGGUAAGAUUUUCGGUGUAGAGUGAGCUCGCGGCCUCUGAGCUUGUUGGUGAGGUAAAGGCUCACAAAGGCGACGACGGGUAGCCGGCCUGAGAGGGUGACCGGCCACACUGGACCUGAGACACGGUCCAGUCUCCUACGGGAGGCAGCAGUGGGUAAUAUUGCACAAUGGGCGAAAGCCUGAUGCAGCAACGCCGCGUUAGGGAUGACGGCCUUCGGGUUGUAAACCUCUUUUAGCAGGGAAGAAGCGAAAGUGACGGUACCUGCAGAAAAAGCACCGGCUAACUACGUGCCAGCCGCCGCGGUAA
rnacentral:rRNA from 1 species